GGCUUUGUAGUUCAAUGGAUAGAACAGCCCUCUCCUAAAGGGCAGAUCUGAGUUCGAUUCUCAGCGGAGCUA
rnacentral:tRNA from 2 species